ACGGAGGAUCCGAGCGUUAUCCGGAUUUAUUGGGUUUAAAGGGUGCGUAGGCGGAACAAUAAGUCAGUGGUGAAAGUUUGCAGCUCAACUGUAAAAUUGCCAUUGAAACUGUCGUUCUUGAGUACAAAUGAGGUAGGCGGAAUGUGUUGUGUAGCGGUGAAAUGCAUAGAUAUAACACAGAACACCAAUUGCGAAGGCAGCUUACUGGGAUGUAACUGACGCUGAGGCACGAAAGCGUGGGGAUCGAACAG
rnacentral:rRNA from 1 species